CAGCSSMSGYRAWUYCAGCYYCMAUAGCGUAUAUUAAAGUUGUUGCAGUUAAAAAGCUCGUAGUUGAAUUUCGGGAUUGACACAUCGGUCGUGCCUUAAGGGGUAUGAACUGGUGUAGUCAAUUUCUCACCUUCUGGAGAACCGCGAUGCCCUUAAUUGGGUGUCACGGGGAACCAGGACCUUUACUUUGAAAAAAUUAGAGUGUUUAAAGCAGGCAUUUUGCUUGAAUACAUUAGCAUGGAAUAAUAAAAUAGGACGGCAUGAUUCUAUUUUGUUGGUUUCUAGGAUCACCGUAAUGAUUAAUAGGAAUAGUUGGGGGCAUUAGUAUUCAAUUGUCAGAGGUGAAAUUCUUGGAUUUAUUGGAGACUAACUACUGCGAAAGCAUUUGCCAAGGAUGUCUUCAUUAAUCAAGAACGGAAGUUAGGGGAUCGAAGACGAUCAGAUACCGUCGUAGUCUUAACCAUAAACUAUGCCGACUAGGAAUCAGACGAUGUUAAUKUUUUAAUGMCYCGUUCGGCGCCUACGGGGGAAAACAAAAAAA
rnacentral:rRNA from 1 species